rnacentral:tRNA from 1 species
GUCUCUGUGGCGCAAUUGGUUAGCGCGUUCGGCUGUUAACCGAAAGGUUGCUGGUUCAAGCCCAGCUAGGGACG